AGAUAAAUUUUCUGUAAUCUUAUUAAUACGUGUAAAAAAAAAAGGGUUAAACAAAUAAUUCAUAAAUUUGGCCUGUAAUUAUUCGAAAUGUAAUUGGAACCUUAAUAAUAUGAUAUUUCACACUAUUAUAACGUAUUUUAUACUAUUAUACAAUAAUGGACAUUAUAAAGUGAUAUCCAUUAUCAUUAAAAUCCAUAAUUGCGGAAUAUCUCUGUCAUUUGCAGACGCGCGCAAUAAAACGGAAUAUUAAUAUUUAUUACGAAAGAAAGGCGCGUGUCGAAAACUGCCGGAACAAUUCUCACGUUGUAAAUUCACACUCGUUUAUGCUUCAGGGCCGAAUGGAAAAUGCACUCCCGCAAUUAUUAAUAUCCGCGCAAAUCAAAUAAUUCUGGAAGAGCGCGCGCGCGAGACGGAUUACGAGAAUAUCGCUGAAUUAAUUUUGAAUCCUCCCCUCCCGCCUCCCUCGAUCCUCCCCGCGGAUCCAUCCAUCAAUCUUCAUCUUUCAUCGUCGGCGUGAAAAAUGUCGAACCACCGAUCUCGCGAGGGCCCGUCUGAUUAACGCGCGAACGUCGCGGAUUAACAUCGCGCGAACGGGACGCGGCGGUUUCUCACCGACUCGUUUCUCUCCCCUCGGAGUUUACGGCCACGAGCGACGAGACAAACGGCGGAACGGAAGGAACCUCGACGCGUUCGCCUCUCGAGUGCGCCGCGACGACGACGCGCGCCCCGCACGGAACAAAAGCCGCCGGUGGAGAUGAAGGGAAGCCGGCGAUCAAAGCAGAGCAAAGGGAGCGACAGAAGCGAUAGGACGACGUGCGCUCGCGCUUUCUUUUUGUCACGGGCAGGAAGCCAUCGAAGAUGAGAGCCAUUUCCUGGCCCCUAGGAAGAAUUCCGGUGACAUAUAGAGCCCCUCGCCCUUUUUUUUUCUUUGUCUCUCCAUCUCUCUCUCUCUCUCUUGAAAGAGGCGCCCGAAGGUGCCGGACGAGCGUCUCCGGUAAAAACGGACGUACGUUUCGCCAGUGAGAUAUUGGACGGCAAAGGGACCCGACGGGGCAAAAGUGCUGAGCACGGAAGAAAGAGAAAGAGAGAGAGAGAGGAGGAGGAGAGACGAACGGUCGUGCUUAAUUAACGAUUAUCGUACGACUGCAUGUCAUUCGUGCGUCGCGACCCGUUAAGACUCGCUCGUUACCGAGGUAUCUUUAAAUUCUUAAAAGCGUAAAAAUCUCUGGCGUUAUUCCAGUUCCCUAGUUCGCCGUCCUCAGUGAUAUAUUUUGUAUUUCGUAUUAUUCAUAAUUAGUAUUUUAAAAUCAUUAUUCAAAAUACAAUCUCUUUAGUGUUCUUUUUUUAUAGAUUGAUAUUUUUUCGUAGAUUGAUUUUUUAAAUAGAUUGAUAUACAAUAAUUUAGAUUACAACUGUGAAUUGACAUUCCUUAACAAUAUAAUGCUUUUUAAUAUCUUUUAAUUCGUAUAUUUGGAACAUUUGUUCAUACAGUCACGUGUAAUUUUAGCAUUAAAGCAAUUCUAUAAAUCCAUCAUUGUUCAUAUUUGUCGUUUUAAUCACAAUUUUUCCAGGAUUAUGGCUUAUGAUUAUUUCAUAAUUAUUUUAGGGCCACUCUAUGUAAUCUCUCAAUUACAUAAUAAGUGUCCCGGUGCCUGCGAAAUACGGAGGCUUUCCGCGAAAUUAGUUCGCUUAUCGUCGAGUGCGGCGCGCCUUUUCGUUUCCGCCACGGCGGCCGAUAUUUCGGCGGCUGUGGUACAAUUUCACCGGAAUGCAGGUAUCGCACAACAACGCCCGGCGAAGUAGGGCGUUAAGAAGAUGUCCCCGUCCGCGGUGCACGUACGCUUCGGUGACGGCGCGGCGGUCCGCGUUGAUAGCGCGCGUCGCGGUUUUUUUUUUUUGCGCGAGAGAAAUAAGUUCCGUUAUUUGUCGAAUCGCGAGACUUGGCCACAAGUUUGCGUGACCAUUUUCGAAAUUGAGAGGACGAGCGUACGCGGUGUUCUGCCAUUUGCCUGUCCAUUUCGGGAUUGGGUAUUAAUGUGAUUAUCAAUAAUAACAAGAAUAUAUUUAGUUCAUUUGGGAAUAUUGUUGAAAAGAUGUUGGGCAAAAUGGAAAGAUUCUUGCCGCCAGAGUCGCAAGUUUGUCUUUAUCCUUUUGACUUUUGAUCUGCUGAUUCUAACUUUCAAAUUUUAAUUUGUCGGGAAAGUACAAUAUUAAUAAAUCAGUGAUAUGAAGCCAUUAAAUGUAACAUACUUGAAUUAAAUAAAUUAAAUCCAGUUGAAAGAUUUAGUCAAACUAACCAUUUUUUUUCUCAGUGUAGAUGUCCAAUAGCUUCGUUAUCUGCUAUUACAUCUUGCCGACAUAUAAAGAAAUCAGAUUCGGCACAGCUCAAAAACAAUAAAAAUCGUUUUUACUUGCCACUCCAAGGAAGAAGAGAGGGCAAAAAUCGGUCCAUUUUACCCGUCUUCCUUUUCAACGAUAAAUAACUGCGGCAAUUAGAUUCUCCGACUCCAAGAUUAACUCAAAAAUGAGAUUUUAUCUUUUCGUUAAGAAUUCAACGGAGCAUUUCGUUUCCUCGACGGACAACUCGGCUCCUGGAAAUUAUACCUUGCUCACUCCGGGUCGAAACCGUACGCGAAUAUCGACGAAACGUUACGUCCGAAUCCGAAAUUCUCCCUAGCAAGGUUUAAAAUUAGCUAGGACGAACUCGGAACACAGAGAGGGAGAGAGGGAGAAAGAGAAAGAGAGAGAGACGUAGUAGGGGAAGAAAGUGCGACAUCCUCUCUCCGGGGUCCCCCUGAUAAAUUCAUUCGGGUCAGUCGGGGGUCGACUCGCAGUCGCUACUAUUCACCAUGCGGCUGAAUCAGCGCUAAUGGGACGGUCGGAGAAGGGUAAGGGGAAGAGGAGGGGCGUGGGGAGCGAACUGCAAUCUUGGGCUGAAUUUCAGCGACGCAGCUCAGAUUCGGUCAUUGCCAUUGGAGAAACGGGCGAGCGCGUUGGGGAUUGCGUUUAGCGCGCGAUCGGGACCUAAUCGCGUGAAUGAUUAAAGACCUCGACAUCGAGGAAGGGAUGCUGGAGCCUUCUCCUUCUUCGCAGGAAAGUAACCCCGGCUCUCUUUGCGCCGCGCGCCAAAGUGGCUCUCCUUUAUUAUUAAUCUUAAACGCACCAUUGGACCGCAGGAAUGCGGACGGAACGGAAAUGAACUCGGAGAAUUCCGAGAAUCUUGACGUUUAUCACGGCCGGAUUAACGAAGUCUUUGUUUUAAACUUAAAUGUUUGCGCUAUUUCGGUCUGUUUAUUCAUUGGCACGUAAUCGUAAACUCCAGUCGCAUUGCCGUUCCAUUUGCCUUUCUCCUUACUGCUUUCUAUUGUUUUGAAAACUGUUGUUAAUAUAUUUAAUAAUAAAAAUAUAUUAAUACAUAUUAUUUUUCUCUUAUCCGAUACAAUUAAUUUAAAUGAUUCCUACUUUUUCAUUGGAGAAAAAAAAAACGGUUAAUUUUAAUCCCGUUCCGUUCGAAUUUAUUUGAUCUAAAACGCGCGUGUUAUUUUCUUACUAAUAUAUUUCACUUAAAAGCUUUCUUCUGAUAUAUUUUAAUGAGACUUUGUUUAUAAGAUUUCUUUUCUGUGAGAAUUUUUAUCACAUUGAUAAAUUCCAACGGAGUAGCAGAGACAUUGAUAAAACAUUGAUAACGAGCUACAUACACACAGAUAUUAUUUAUCCUCUUUUGUUUCUCAAACACUAUACACGUGUUGGAAAAAAAAAAA
rnacentral:lncRNA from 1 species